GGUCAUUGAUGAAGCAACUGAAGAUGAUUGAGUCUAGGAUACUGCUCUGAUCAUCCUGCGGUGAUGUCCUGGAGCUGGGAUGAUUUACCUCCAACAACCGCAGCCACUAUCCUUUGUUGGAGGUGACAGGCGGGGAUUGGGCACAUCCACUCACCUGCCCGAAGUAGAAUGACUUGAUCGUCGAGAGGGAGGUCGGAGAAGUGAGGAAUCCUCUUGGCCCAUUCCACCAGCGUGAAGAGCUGCUUGUCUGCCGCUUGACAAAUAUUGUAUGCAUUACAGAUGAGCAGAUUCAACACUGCUGAGACUUUCAUCCAAAGACCAGAGACCUUCAGUUUUUGAGAGCAGUCUUUAUCUAAAGAGAAGAUGGCGGUGCGAUGCAGCGCGUGUGGCUGUUCUGAAUGAUAUCGAUAUGUGUAACUAGGGGUGCGGUGCACGAUCCGGAUUUGAUGGAGACAGCUGUGAGAAGCGCAGAGGAACAUCUGGAGUAACUUCUGAAAUGCCUGCUUCGCUGCCGCUGCUACUGUGCGAUCAAGAAUCCCUGGAGACGAAGGCCCCAAAUCCUCAGCUUUGCGUAUCACCUGUUGCCGGGGCUGGGGUCGAAACGCUCAGCAGAGAUAGUGCUCGGUGUCAAAGAGGUGGGUCAGAGGCUUGGAGUUUUCGGACGGACUCGGAAUCGGACUGUGGUCGGAUGCUUUCGGGAUGCUGCAUCGGCAAGUUGGCGGCGCUGGAGGUUUACCGUCUGCAGACUUCCGAGAGACUUUGAGAUUUUUACUGUGCCAUGGUCUGUUCUUAUCAAAUUACAGUAUUGCUUUGCACUGUUGUAACUAUAUUAUAAUUAUGUGGUUUUUGUUAGUUUUUAAGUUGGUUUGUCAUGUGUUUCUGUGAUCAUUCUGGAAGAACAUUUUAUCAUUUCUUAAUGCGUUCAUUAUUAAAUGCCAAUAAAAGAGGACUGCGUGUCCUUAUAAUUAUAAUUCCAGUACUGGUAGCUCUUUGUGCUGCUGCUUAUCUCCUUCCAGAAGCUCUCUCCAAAUUUCACCUUUUUUGUAUGUCUGCCUCCAUCAAUCACCCAACUGCAUUUGCCUCACAAUUCCUCACCUCCCCUCACCUUACUUGAUUCCCAUCUCCCUGUCUACCUUCACCUCUUUUCAAUCAUUCAC